AACAUACAAGCUCGAACGAUGAANCCCAGCUUGCUGGGUGGAUUAGUGGCNAACGGGCUGAGAUAACACGUUGCAGGUAACCAUGCCCUUAACUACUGGGAUAAGCCUGGGAAACUGGGUCUAAUACCGGAUAGGAGCGCCUACCGCAUGGUGGGUGUUGGAAAGAUUUAUCGGUUUUGGAUGGACUCGCGGCCUAUCAGCUUGUUGGUGAGGUAAUGGCUCACCAAGGCGACGACGGGUAGCCGGCCUGAGAGGGUGACCGGCCACACUGGGACUGAGACACGGCCCAGACUCCUACGGGAGGCAGCAGUGGGGAAUAUUGCACAAUGGGCGCAAGCCUGAUGCAGCGACGCCGCGUGAGGGAUGACGGCCUUCGGGUUGUAAACCUCUUUCAGUAGGGAAGAAGCGAAAGUGACGGUACCUGCAGAAGAAGCACCGGCUAACUACGUGCCAGCAGCCGCGGUAAUACGUAGGGUGCGAGCGUUAUCCGGAAUUAUUGGGCGUAAAGAGCUCGUAGGCGGUUUGUCGCGUCUGUCGUGAAAGUCCGGGGCUUAACCCCGGAUCUGCGGUGGGUACGGGCAGACUAGAGUGCAGUAGGGGAGACUGGAAUUCCUGGUGUAGCGGUGGAAUGCGCAGAUA
rnacentral:rRNA from 1 species